AAGCCAGACUCCUACGGGAGGCAGCAGUGGGGAAUAUUGCACAAUGGGGGAAACCCUGAUGCAGCGACGCCGCGUGAGUGAAGAAGUAUUUCGGUAUGUAAAGCUCUAUCAGCAGGGAAGAAAAUGACGGUACCUGACUAAGAAGCCCCGGCUAACUACGUGCCAGCAGCCGCGGUAAUACGUAGGGGGCAAGCGUUAUCCGGAUUUACUGGGUGUAAAGGGAGCGUAGACGGCAUGGCAAGUCAGAUGUGAAAGCCCGGGGCUCAACCCCGGGACUGCAUUUGAAACUGUCAGGCUGGAGUGCAGGAGAGGUAAGUGGAAUUCCUAGUGUAGCGAUGAAAUGCGUAGAUAUUAGGAGGAACACCAGUGGCGAAGGCGGCUUACUGGACUGUAACUGACGUUGAGGCUCGAAAGCGUGGGGAGCAAACAGGAUUAGAUACCCUUGUAAA
rnacentral:rRNA from 1 species